UGAUGUUGGACAAAGACCAGUUGGUGGAU
rnacentral:piRNA from 1 species